rnacentral:lncRNA from 1 species
AGCAGUUGAGAGAACUCUCCAGAAGAGAGAGAAUUUUAUUAAGGAAAAUGAAGGCAAAAUAAAAUCCGUAUCUACAAAAUAUCUGCCUUCCACUAUAUACACAUUUCACUAUUGGGUCGGGUCCGAUGAGCCGGCCCAAAACUAAAUAACCGUGGGCUCAGAUACACAGUCCAGCAGCAUCAAUCAUCAUAGCCCAUUACAAGGUAUACCAUGAGUAUACAGUAAAUAUACAAUGAGUAUAUAAGUCUAUGUCACUUAUGCUUUGGCUUGGAAGCCAUAUAAUCUCUCAUCUCAACACUCCCCCCUAAAGUUGGAGGGGGAGACCACCUGCAACUUGAGCAACAAGGGAUGAAGCACAGUGCCAAGCAAA